AUUGAACGCUGGCGGCAUGCCUUACACAUGCAAGUCGAACGGCAGCACGGGUGCUUGCACCUGGUGGCGAGUGGCGAACGGGUGAGUAAUACAUCGGAACAUGUCCUGUAGUGGGGGAUAGCCCGGCGAAAGCCGGAUUAAUACCGCAUACGAUCUACGGAUGAAAGCGGGGGUCCUUCGGGCCUCGCGCUAUAGGGUUGGCCGAUGGCUGAUUAGCUAGUUGGUGGGGUAAAGGCCUACCAAGGCGACGAUCAGUAGCUGGUCUGAGAGGACGACCAGCCACACUGGGACUGAGACACGGCCCAGACUCCUACGGGAGGCAGCAGUGGGGAAUUUUGGACAAUGGGCGAAAGCCUGAUCCAGCAAUGCCGCGUGUGUGAAGAAGGCCUUCGGGUUGUAAAGCACUUUUGUCCGGAAAGAAAUCCUUGGCCCUAAUACGGUCGGGGGAUGACGGUACCGGAAGAAUAAGCACCGGCUAACUACGUG
rnacentral:rRNA from 1 species